rnacentral:rRNA from 1 species
GAUGAACGCUGGCGGCGUGCCUAAUACAUGCAAGUCGAGCGAACAGACGAGGAGCUUGCUCCUCUGACGUUAGCGGCGGACGGGUGAGUAACACGUGGAUAACCUACCUAUAAGACUGGGAUAACUUCGGGAAACCGGAGCUAAUUCCGGAUAAUAUAUUGAACCGCAUGGUUCAAUAGUGAAAGACGGUUUUGCUGUCACUAAUAGAUGGAUCCGCGCCGCAUUAGCUAGUUGGUAAGGUAACGGCUUACCAAGGCAACGAUGCGUAGCCGACCUGAGAGGGUGAUCGGCCACACUGGAACUGAGACACGGUCCAGACUCCUACGGGAGGCAGCAGUAGGGAAUCUUCCGCAAUGGGCGAAGGCCUGACGGAGCAACGCCGCGUGAGUGAUGAAGGUCUUCGGAUCGUAAAACUCUGUUAUUAGGGAAGAACAAAUGUGUAAGUAACUAUGCACGUCUUGACGGUACCUAAUCAGAAAGCCACGGCUAACUACGUG